rnacentral:rRNA from 1 species
UACAGAGGGUGCGAGCGUUAAUCGGAAUUACUGGGCGUAAAGCGUGCGUAGACGGUUAUGUAAGUCGGGUGUGAAAGCCCCGGGCUCAACCUGGGAAUUGCAUUCGAGACUGCAUAGCUAGGGUGCGGAAGAGGGAAGCGGAAUUUCCGGUGUAGCAGUGAAAUGCGUAGAUAUCGUGAGGAACACCAGAGGCGAAGGCGGCUACCUGGACAAUUGCUGACGCUCAGGCACGAAAGCGUGGGGAGCAAAAGGG